rnacentral:lncRNA from 1 species
AUACAUACUGGAAUUUUUCACAGAACAAUUCAACUAUAUAGUUUAACAAUCUUACUAUGAUCUAAUGCAUGAUCCUGGAAGAUACAGAAAGGUCAAAGGCGUGGUCCUGAAUCAGUUCAAAUCUGUGUAAGGUUUCACAAUAAUUAAAGCAAUGGCAAACAAUUCUAAGAGAUCAUGCAAAUGCAGACAUUGCAAAAAAGAAAGGCCACUUUCAAGGUAACCUGGACAAUGUAAUUAUCUAUAUACCAUGAGUAACCAGAAGAUACCAUAUCAUUUGAAGCAUUUUGAACAUUCAAGCUGGGUCUUGGGGGAUUAUGGUGAAGGAGUAAAGAAGCUACGGCCAACAACAAGCAGCUUUCCACUUAUGCACACCCCACAUUUUAAUCAUUUAAUGUCUAAACCACCAAUUUAGAAAGAAAAGGAAAAAUAUAAAUGGCCACAUCAGAGUCUAAACCACCAUUUCAGUCUCUAAAUUAUAAUAAAAUGGAAGUCGCGGAAUUAUAGCUAUCAAUUCAAAUCAACCACAAACACAAGAGAUUGAUAGAAGGAAGAAGUAUUAUAGAUUUAGGACAAUUCUACAUAUAUUAGAUAUUUCGUCACAUGUAUAAGAG